rnacentral:rRNA from 1 species
AUGGAUCCAUGUGAGAAACUGAAUGUGAGGUUUCAUUUUGGUGGACAAUUUGUUCGAAUUGGGCCUAAUUUGGGCUAUGUUGGGGGGGAUGAGGCAAUGUCAGAAAUAGAGAGGGACAAAUUGUCUUUACCUAGUGAUCACAUGACGUUCAAAGAGAGUAUGCUAGGGUUUCUUGGUGAUCACAUGACGUUCAAAGAGAGUAUGAAACUUUAUUUUCUAUUGCCUGGUAAAGAACUAGUGAAUGGCCUGUUAUUUCUCUGUGAUGAUGUUGGUUGUAUGAAGAUGUCAGAUUACACUAGUGAUCGUGGAGUUGCUGAUGUUUAUGUGGAAUAUUUCGGGGAGCAGGAUAAUGAAAGUGACAGUGAAGACAGUGUUAGUAACUUUGAGGAUGAGAUAGGUAAUGAUGCCGAUGAAGAAAGUAAUGAUGCACCUGACUGUGUUAUUACUGCAGAAGAUGAUAUAAAUGCCAUUGUUCCAAAUACGCAGUUGACUGCAACAACUAAUCAUGUGCUUGUACCAAAUCAGAGAGGAGUAAUAACUGAAGUACUUAGGAGCCCUACAAAACAUAAGUUUCUGAAGAAACAGAGUGAUGAUACAGGGUUGUGCUCUCAAGUUAAUUUAUGUGCAGAUUUCAUAACUGGUAGCUCUCAGGUAAUAGAUGCUGCAUCACAAAGUGGUACUGCUGCAAUCACCGGGGCAAGAACUCAACAGCCAACAAUUCAAGAAGAGGCACUACCCCAAGACAGUGGCUCUGUAUAUUCAGACAGUGAUGCUGAUGAUAGUGAUUAUGUAGCAGGUAGUGAUGACAGUGGACUGGAUGAAGAAUAUGUUGAACUAAGGGAACAAGCAAAGGCCUUUAAAAAGAGAAUUAGAGCCUCCAAGAAGUGGGCUGAAAGUACUCCUUCAGGUGCUGUUCCAAUAGAUCUUGUGGCAAAUGUGGAAGAAGUGAUAGGAGAAGACUACUUUGAAUCAGAUGAUGAGGAUUACUCAUAUGAUGAUCAGACAGAUGAUGAUGGCCAUGUUGUCAGGAGGAAGAGCCAGUUCGUUAGGUAUAAUCCAAAGACAGAGAUUCCUACUUUUUGUUUAGGAAUGGUGUUCAGGAGCAAGAAUCAGAUGAAAAAAGCACUAACAAAAUAUGGACUGGUCACAAAAAGAAGUAUUAUUUUCAUGAAGUCAGAGGAUGAAAGAAUUAGGGCCAAGUGUGGAUGGCCAGGAUGUCCAUGGCUCAUUUAUGGUGCAAAGACAAGCAGGUGUUCCAGAUUUCAGGUUUUAACAUAUGAGAGUGAACAUAUGUGUGCUCCAAAUAGGGACAAUCACCUUGUAACUGCUAAAGUGAUUGCUAGAAGAUAUGAGGAUAUCUUAAGGGCCAACCCCACUUGGAAGAUUGACAACAUUAAAGCCACUGUUUUGAAGGAUUUCUUUGCAGAUGUAUCAACAUCAAAGUGCAAGGCUGCAAAGAAGAUAGUGUCACAGAAGCUUUUACAAGGGAUGAAAGAGGAAUACACUAAGGUCUUUGACUACCAGCUAGAAUUGUUGAGAAGCAAUCCUGGUAGUACCAUUCUUGUAGGAUUGGAUCCUAAAUAUGUGGACCAAAGUAUAUUCCAGAGAUUUUAUGUUUGCUUCGGUGCUAUGAAAAAGGGGUUUAAAGCAUGCAGAAGGGUAAUUGGCCUUGAUGGUUGUUUCUUUAAAGGAGCAUGUCAAGGUGAACUUCUUUGUGCUGUUGGUAGGGAUGCUAACAACCAAAUGUACCCAAUUGCUUGGGCAAUAGUGGAGCAAGAAACAACAAAAAAUUGGGAAUGGUUUAUUGGCCUUCUGAUCAAAGACUUGGACAUAAAUAAUCAAGGUGAAGGCUGGGUGUUCAUUUCAGACCAACAAAAGGGUUUGAUCAGUAGCAUGGAAGACUAUCUACCAAAGGCAGAACACAGGAUGUGUGCUAGACACAUAUAUGCUAAUUGGAGAAAGAAGCAUAGAGAGCAUGCUCUACAGAAGAAAUUCUGGGCUAUAGCAAAGGCUGCAAACAGAGAAGAUUUCAUGUACAGAAAAGCAAAGUUAGCUCAAGACACACCAGAAGGGGCAAGGGACAUAAUGAGAACAGAGCCUAAGCAUUGGGCCAGAGCUUUUUUCCCUGUUGGUUCAAUGUGUGACUCAGUGGACAAUAACCUAUAGGGAUUUGAAGUUAAGCAUGUAAGUGGAAGAGGAAGGAGCUACACUGUAAAUUUGGAGAAGAGAACAUGCUCUUGUGGGCUUUUUGUGGUUAAAUCCAAGGAAUUGGUGCAGUAUCAGGUCAUGGAGGGGAGCAAGGACAUGCAAGAGUCAGACACUGAACCUGUUGUUAAAGUACCCAGAGAGCCUGCCAUCAUUAUCAAUGGUGUCCCAGACUUGCCUCCUGAAUUCGCAUCUGGUUCACAACUUGCAGUAAGAGACGCUCCGCGACCUCGAGUCGAUCAUCGCUUUGGUGAAUGGCUAGAAGGGCGGAAAGUGAGAAAGCGGUUUGGAGACAUAUACUAUGUAGGGAAAGUUGUCAAGUAUGACAGUCAAAGAAAUUGGUACACCGUUGUCUACGACGAUGGAGACCAGGAAGAUCUUGAGUGGCACGAACUGGAGGAGAUCCUGCUACCGUUGGACAUAACCAUUCCGCUCAAAACACUUGUGAUGGACAAAUUCAAACAUCAGAAUGUUGUUCCCGGCUACAGAACUAAGGUGGCUAGAGCAAGAACUAAUGUUGCUAGCAAUCAGGUGGUGGUUAGAGCAGUAAAUGGCCAACAGUCAAACAACCUACCGCUCCCAGGGUUGCUUCAGGCAUCAGCAUCAGCAGGAGAAAAUGCUCUAGUAUGUCUGAAACCUGACGAUCAACCUAAGAAAAGGGGCAGGCCUCGAAAGGAUAGAAGUACAUCAGGUGAGCUUUCAAAACAAGGAAGUACAUCAGGUGAUAUUCAACCUAAAAAAAGAGGCAGGCCUCCAAAAGAACCUGGAGAGAAGAGUAUUGAUAGGCGCAAGUUAGAGACUGUCAGGGCAGAAAAACUGAAGAGAGAAAGCAUGCUUCUGCGAGGGCCACCACCUGGAAGUCAGUAA